UCACAAGUCGUGUACUUCAAAACACAAAC
rnacentral:piRNA from 1 species